AUAGAUCUGGUGAGAGAGAGAAAAUGUAGCCAAACGUUAAAAACUGGUGAAUCUAGGUGAAAGGUGUGUAGGUGUUCAUUAUAUAUUGUAUUGUUUCUGUAAUUUUUCCCCAGGUUACAGAUUUUUCCAAAUAAAAUAUUGAUGAGAAGUGAAAAAAUUAAGCUACAGCCUAAUAAAAAUCUAAAAUUUAACUUCCCCAUCAAUAAUACAGAAUGAGCAGUGCAAAAGAAAAAAGUUGGUGUAAAUAUGAGGUCAUUAUUGCUAGGUUAAUUAAAUGAGGCGAGUUUAGCAGCCAGAGCCGCAAGAUCCGAAUCUGUUCAAGUCUGAGCGCUGCAGUUGGCGCCACCUGGCGGCAGUUGUCUGCUUCGGCUUAAAUAAGGAUGGUGAUUGUUCUGGCUCCUAUCGGAAGUGAUGCCAAGGAUCUCCAGGGUUGCGAGUCGUGGGCAAGGAUGGAGAUUAGAGUCAUCUGGGUCCAGUCCACAUGGGAAGCAGAGGCUGCCUGGCUGUGACAGUGGCAGCAGGCUUAGCUGCUCCCUGCCUGCAACAAAGUCCCUGGCUACGGGGAACCUAACAUCCAUCCGUUCAAUGGAGAAGUAUUUGGAAGAGUUUGAUGCAGUUCCGGGUGUCAAAUCAUGGCGCAGACGUGGACGUCAUUUAGCCAGUCACAUGAAAGCUCCAGAAGAUCCCACUGUUUGGAGAACUGCAGUUUAUUUAUCCAUUCUGCUGUUGAUAAGACGUUCCGUUGUUUCCAGCUGUUCAUUUCAAACUGUGCUACAGUUAGCAUCAUUGUAUCUGUCUCCAUGCACACGUCUGAGAGUUUUCCUAUGUAAAAGGAGAAUUGCGGGACUGUCGUGUACACACAUCUUCACCUUUACUAGAUAACUGGAAAAUUGCCUUCCAAAGUGAUU
rnacentral:lncRNA from 1 species